GCGGCGGGCAGCGCCCGCGGGACGGGGACGGGGGUGGGAAGGCAGCGCGGGGGGCCGCGGCGGGGGACAGCUAGAAAUCAGGAACCGCAAAUAAUUUGCACCGAGCUGCUUCUGCACCUGCUGGGGCUCGUGCCUUUACUUGUCUGCUACAACAGCGGAGCACGCACUGCUGCGUUUUAGCAGCACCUUCCAGCCUUGUAUUUCUAGCUCAGGCCUGCUGAGCUACGUUUUGACACCUUUGAAGCACAAAAAUAAUCUUUCCAUGGUUCAGACUCUUAAAACAAGCAGAAACUGGAGGACAGCCACGAUAAAGCCAACAGCCACUUUCAAGCAGUAUGAUGCUGUUUCAGCUGGUGCUGUCAGACCUGUCCAUGCAAGGCUCCCGGUUCAGGAAUGCAGAGGGCCGGCAUGAAACUUAACCCUGCUGCUAAAGAACAGCUUUUGCUGGGAGCGGUCUGGCAGCCAUUGUAACUUGGACGCCCAUAGGAACGGGAUAUCUGUUUUUCUACAAGUGAACUUACAUUCUGUCUUAACAAAAAACCACCGUGCACCUCAUUUUUGACCCUGCUCCUAGCGUCUCUGGUUGUUGACAUGUAGAAAUAAACUAAACUGAUCCAAGUCCAUGGCAGAUGGCUGCAGUAGGAAGGACAGUUCAAGAGCAACAGAGAGAAUGUGGUAUUUAAACCAACUGAGAUGUACAUUCACCUGAUCUAGCAUAAGGUGUCCCUGGCCAUGACAGGUGUGUUGAAACUAGAUGAUAUUUAAGGUCCCUCUCAAUUCAAAUCAUUCUAAAAUUCCAUUAUAUGUAUCUGCAUCCUCAUUGCUGGAUGUAAAAAAUAAAAUUGGAUUGGGCAGAAACUUGACUGUAAAAUAUCAAUCAAUUUGCAGUUGUACAUUUUCAGUCAUGAAAAAAAAUCUUUGCUGUUUGACUUGCUGGCCUGGCAAGGACUGCUUUACACCAGAACUGGGGAAGAGAAGUGGCAGACCACAAUUGUAGAAGGUUGGCAAAGAGGAAGCAGCCCGGUGUACCUCCUAUUCAACACAACAGGGCUGAAGGGGGUCCACCUCAAGCGUGUGCGCACAGAUACAGAAAUGCCAAUGCCAUGAGGACAGCAUGGCAAACUCUCCCAUGUUUGCUGGUGAAUCAGCACAGCAAGGGGAAUUAGCACAAUGAGUUAGAGAUCUGCGUGCUUUCACGGAACUAUGGUAUUGUGGGGAUCACAGAGGCAUGGUGGGAUGUAUUACAUGGCUGGAAUGCUGCAAUGGAUGAAUGAAAGCCCUUUAGGAUGGACAGGGUAGGAAGGUGCAGAGGAGUUAUCCUUUGUAUGAAGGAGCAGCCGAAACACACAGAGCUCUGCCUGGGAAUGGAUGAUGAUCUAAGGGGUCAGGAUUAGAAGGCAAACUAAUCUUUGCUAUGUUGUGGUGGGUAUUUGCUAUAUGCUUCCUGAUCAGGAAGAUAAAGAUGACAUCAUCAGAGAAAUGGAAAAAGCCUUACAUAUACAGACCCUAAUUCUCAAAGGGAAUUUGAAUCUUCUGAGUAUCUCCUGCAGGAUCAACAAAGCAGAAUACAAGAACUCCUGGAAGUUUUGGAAGCAAAAUAAUAAUAACUUACUGACAUGAAGUCCAAAGGGGAGAAAUAUGCUGCUAGACCUUCUUAUAAACAAGGAAGAACUGUGAAAGUUGGAGUCAUCUUUGGCUGCAGUGACCAUAAAAUCGCGGAGUUCAAGAUCCUGAGAAAAAGAGAACAAGGCAAAUAGUAGGAUCGCAAAAAAGGGUUUCAGGAGAACAGACUUUGGAGGAAUAUUGAGACACUGUACUGGUAUACGGUGAUAGGCUUAGGAAUGUCAAAGCUCACCCAGACCUGAAUCAAGCAUGGGAUGUGAAGGACAGCAAGAACUACAGAUCUAUCUGCAGCAAAAGUAAAUUUAGGACCCGCUACUGAACAUACAACAGAUGACAAAGGACAGGGAAAACACUGAGGUAUUCAGUGUCUUCUUCACUAUGUUUUUUUCUGUUAAGGAAUCCCAAGCUUCUGAGACCUGCUGGAAAAUCUGGAGCAAUGAAAAUUUAUUCUUAGUAGAGGUGGAUCUUCUUGAGGAACAUUUAGAUAAAUUGAACAUGCAAAAAGUCCAUAGACGUUGGUGAGAUACAAGUGCUGAGGGAGCUGUCUAAUGUCCCUGCAAGGACACUUGACAAUCUUUGAAAUAUCAUGGCAAAUGGAGAAGGUUCCUGAGGACUAGAAAAAGGUAAAUGUCACUGCUAACUUCAAGAGGAGCAAGAAGGAUGAUCAGAGAACAACAGGUCAAUCAGCCUCACCUCAAUUCCUAGGAAGAGGGGAGAAUGAAUUCUUCAGGAAACAACUUCCAAACACAUUAGGGUCAAACAGGUGACUGGCAUCAGUCAGCAUGGAUUUACAAACAGACAGUUAUGCCUGACGAAGCUGACAGCCUUCUACAAUUACUAGCUCAGUAGAUGGUGGAAGAGCAGUGAACAUUGUUUAUGCUAUGAAGGCUUUUGAACUGUCUCCUGUGCUAUCCCAGUAGGCAAACUGGUGAGGUAUGGCCAACAUAAACAGGCAGCAAGAGGGAGGGAAAACUGGCUGAACUGCCAAGCUGAAGGGCUAGAAAGCAGAAACAGGAAGUUCAGAGGCCAGUCACAAGUAGCAUACUCCAGUAAUUCCUUCUGGAGACAAUACUGUUAUCAUCUUCAUUAAAGCCUUAGGUGGCCUUCGGGACCAAAGUCCUGCACCUGGAGAGGAGCAAUCCCAGGCACCAGUGCAUGGUGGAGGUCAUCCAGAUGGAAAGCAGAUUUGCAGGAAAGGGCCUGGGGGUCUUGAUGGGCAUCAAGUUGAACACGAGUAAGCAGCAUGACCUUGCUACAAGGGUGUCCAGCAGCAACCUGAGCUGCUCUUACUAAUAUAUUAGUAAGAGUUACCUGCAGUUCAAGGAAGGGGCUCUUUGCUCUCUACUCAGCCAAUGGUGAGACACAUCUGGAAUUUUGCAUUUAAAUUCUGUGCUGGGCUCCCCAUUACAAGAGGGAGAUGAAGACAUUGAAUUGAGUCCAAUGAAGAGCCAUAAAGGUUAAGAGACUAGAGACUCUCGUCAUGCAAGGAGAAACUGGGAGCUGGGACUGGUUGUCCUGGGGAAGGCUCAGGGGUAUCUUAUCAGGAAUCUUAUAAAUAUUUGAAGGAAGGUUGCAAAGAAGACAGAGCCAGGCUCUUCUCAGUAAUGACCAGUGACAGGAGGAGAGGCAAUAGGCACAAACUGAAAUACCAGAAACUAAAUGUAAACAUAGGAAAAAUGUUCUUUGAUGUCAGACGCUGGUACAAGCUGCCCAGAGAGGUUGUGGUGUCUCCAUCCUUGGAGAUAUUCAAAAUUUGACUGGACGCAGCCCUGAUCAGCGUACUGUAGUUGACCCUGCUGGGCUAGGUAGAGGAUUGAAUUAGAUGAUCUCAAGAGAUACCUCCUCACUUCAAUGAUUCACUGAUUCUGUGGAAGGGAGAGGAGUGGUCCAGUGUGACAAAUAACAUCAGAUUAAUGGCUUAUUGGUUCUGGUGCUACACUGUACUAUAAUGCUAAAAUUAUAACAAAAUGAGCAGAAUUUUGCAGAUGUAAGCUAAUAAUUGAUCUAGUAAAUCACUAACAUUUUCUUUGUUUUGCAUGUGGCUGCUGUGACCUUUGGAAAAUAACAUGGAGAAAGUAGUCUUCAGUUUUCUUCAGUGUAUCGAUGUGCAAAUAAACUAUGUCUCUUUUUCUUCCACAGUGCAGAAACCUCAGCUGCAGUGAAAUACCAUGAACAUGGACCAGCUCGAGCUUGGUAACACAAUUAUAUGCUAUUACUUCUGCAACCACAAAAUACCCAGGAUUAUACUAGCACUGAGAUCUUUUCAUCUUUUUUUAUUGAAUUCGAUGUUCAUUAUAUCCUGGCUAUUAUAUUUUCCCUUGACACAUUUCUUCAAUACUUAAUCACAGGCAAUCUUUGUUACUGCCGGUGCAACUUGCGCAUAUACAUUUCUACACACUGUGGGUGUAGCCCGCAUUUUUUAGGCAGCACUAAGUUGUUACAUCUUCUCACUACUUGUGGAACUGCAAAACAGCUGUCCCUCUCAGCAUCUCUAUGGGACAAACACAAGCAUUUAGGGUUUUUGGCUGCCAAGUUAUUCUUGGAAAUCUACAAAGCAACAGCUUCAGGCAUUCUUAUUCCCCAUCUGAAGGUACCUGGACACUCCCUGACAUGCCUUCCUCCCACAUACACGCAGUGGCUUCCUUAGAGCUUUAUUACUAUACUCUUAAGGAUUUUGAACUUCUAAAAGGAAACUACCUGAUUCAUAGAAGAUAACACCCAUUUCUUUGGAGAUACUCACUGGUUUUUAGGGGUGUAACUCCAGAUUUACAAAAAAAGAGCACCUAAAGUGAGGCUCAUGUUUACACACCUAAGUAGUUCCCUCAUCUACAGUAAUGCUGAGCACAUAGCAAAGAAAAUUAACUACAUCAACCCAGAAUCCUACAUUUCAGCAAAUAAACACUAUAAAAAAAACCUUAGCCAUUAAUGGUAUUUAAAUAGACAGGAUGGUUCACUUCAGUAUUUUCAACAUCUUUUUCCCCCACAAAUUCUAGAUAUUUAAUGUUACAAACAAAGAUCAAAAUCCCUCAUUCAUAGAUUUGCAGUCCCUGCGCGUGGGAACGCCCAUGUGCCCCUCUGCAGCCAAACCACUGCUUGCAGCUCAGCAGCCAGCUCACAGGCUGAACAAAACUCUACCUUUCCCUGUUUCCAAGGCAACCGCAGAGCCUUGUAAAUGAGCCGCGCAAGGGAGGCAACAGAAAUCUUAGAACAUUUUAAUAUCUCUGUAAUUUCCUAUUGUAGGAUGAAGAAUCACAAACAUACAAAUGUGAGAGCUGCUGGAGCAUACACAAUAAUAGACUGAGUAUCUGCCUGGGCUUUAUUCUCAUUCACAAUGAGUGAUAGCAUGUAUUGCUUAGGCAUGUAUAUCAGAAACUAAAUGAUUUUUUGGGUCUUCCCAUUGACAUCUAGAUGGUGAUGCUCCAUUCAUUAGCUUUUUGUCUGACUUCUACCAGAGAAUGACAAUAUUGCCACCUGAUGCAGAUUCUGAGAUCACGGAUGGUAUCCAGUGCUUAAUCACUAGUGAUGUGCAUUAAGAAUACUUCUCCUAGCAAGAAGGUGGAAUAUUUGUGAAGCAGCUGUAAAUAAAAUACUCGAAACUGGAGAUUGAAGCUACAAGCAGAGAAACAGAUUGGUUGUUAUUAAAUUGGUCAGAGAGGAAGAAGAGUUUAUCAUCUGCACUAUUUCCUUUGCUAGUAGGGACUGAGGGAUCAGACUCCUCUCAAGACCUGGCCUUCAACUUGCAUUCAAACAAAUGCUCAAAGGACUCCAGAUGGGUAAGUGCCCAAUAGAGUGAAGUCUAAGAAAUAUAUUUCUAAAAUACAGCCUGAGGCAUUUUCCUGUAUGACCAAAUGCUACCAUUUUGAUUUCUCAUGUAGGCAAGCUAAAGAUAACAACCAUCUAAAAUGGAAGCAUCUGAGAUGCAGUGGCAUGCUCUUUCCCAUUUUAAUAAAUAACAAAGAUCAGAGCAGGUUAUUGGUGGAAUAUCAGAAGGCAGGUGCUUAACAUGACAAUUUUAGAUUCGUAGGAGAAAAACUCUCAAGAUCUUUUGAUCAAAUCACAUGCAAAAUUAGCUACAAAUACUAUAAAGGUUUGUUUAUUUCUUGCAGAGUGGAAGUUAAGGGAAAAACCUUACCUGAGUUGCCUUGAGCCCAUAGCGCAGUCAUGAGAUUUGUUUAAUGGAGACAACAAAAGAGGGAAAAAAUGCACAGAAAUAUUGAGGAGUGAGAAAACAGUGCCUGCCACGUACCAAAGGUUUCACCUGGAAUGAAGGAUAGAGAUGAGGAAAGAAGUGGUAUAAAAAGCUUGUUGUUCUGCACACAGUCUCAGAUCUUACUGGAGGAUAACAAGACCAUCAGCAAAGCAACAGUAUGCUCAGGCAGUAGAGUCCAUUAACAGAGCCAAAACAGGCAAGAUAAUUAGUUGUGCACAGCAGCUCCCUUUUAAGUCUUAAUUCCAGUAAUGCCUUGCCAGAGUUUCAUUAAAGGAUCACAAAAGAGGUGGCAAAUAUGUGGAUAGCUGUUCCUUCAGAGCACUAUGGACCACAGUAGUCAUAGCAUUACUAGUAGCUCUCA